AUUGAACGCUGGCGGCAUGCUUUACACAUGCAAGUCGAACGGUAACAGGCCGCAAGGUGCUGACGAGUGGCGAACGGGUGAGUAAUGCAUCGGAACGUGCCCAGUCGUGGGGGAUAACGCAGCGAAAGUUGCGCUAAUACCGCAUACGAUCUAUGGAUGAAAGCGGGGGACCGUAAGGCCUCGCGCGAUUGGAGCGGCCGAUGUCAGAUUAGGUAGUUGGUGGGGUAAAGGCUCACCAAGCCGACGAUCUGUAGCUGGUCUGAGAGGACGACCAGCCACACUGGGACUGGGACACGGCCCAGACUCCUACGGGAGGCAGCAGUGGGGAAUUUUGGACAAUGGGCGCAAGCCUGAUCCAGCAAUGCCGCGUGCAGGAAGAAGGCCUUCGGGUUGUAAACUGCUUUUGUACGGAGCGAAACGGUCCUGGUUAAUACCUGGGGCUAAUGACGGUACCGUAAGAAUAAGCACCGGCUAACUACGUGCCAGCCGCCGCGGUAAAAC
rnacentral:rRNA from 1 species